AACGAACGCUGGCGGCAGGCCUAACACAUGCAAGUCGAGCGCUGUAGCAAUACAGAGCGGCGCACGGGAUAAUAACGCGUGGGAACCUACCUUUUGGUUCGGAAUAACAUCGGGAAACUGGUGCUAAUACCGAAUAAGCCCUCCGAGGGAAAGAUUUAUUGCCGGAAGAUGGGCCCGCGUUGGAUUAGCUAGUUGGUGAGGUAAUGGCGCACCAAGGCUACGAUCCAUAGCUGGUCUGAGAGGAUGAUCAGCAACACUGGGAAUGAGAAACGGCUCAGAAUCCUAACUGAGGCAGGAGUGGGGAAUAUUGGAGAAUGGGGGAAACCCUGAUCCAACCAUGCCGGGUGAAUGAUGAAGGCCUUCGGUUUGUAAAGUUCUUUUGGUGAGGACGAUGAUGACGGUACCCACAGAAUAAGCUCCGGCUAACUUCGUGCCAGCCGCCGCCGUAA
rnacentral:rRNA from 1 species